UCGCACCACCCCUCUUGAGUCCUUGACGGGUUGACCCCUCUCCUACGGUCGUCGCAAACUUGUUGUACCCGCAACCUCUCUUCUCCUGGCCCUCUCCGAACUCCAAACCCUAGAGGCGCCGCACACCGCAGCGACACGUCCAGCGAGAUGCGGCCGCGCGGCAGAGGGGACGACCCUGACGACGACGAGGACUACGAGUCCUCCCCGCAGCGGAGCGCCCCGGGGUCGGAUGCCGAGCCCGAAGAGCCCGCGCCGCCGCCGCCGCCGCAGCCCACGCGCGCGCCCCUCAGCAGCCUAGUCGUCCGGCCGUCGCCGCCGCCGCCGCAGGAUAACGGCGCGUCCUCCCAGUCCCCUGCCCGUUCGUCCCCCUCCCCCGUCGGCGACGCCCAGGGUCGCCGCCGCGGGUCCUCGCUCCCUCGUCGCCGUCGCGAGUUCUCGUCGCCGGGCCCCCGGAUCAGGGAGAGACGCCGGUCGCCGCCGCCCCCCGCGAGGCGCCGCCCUGGCAGCCCGCCGCCCCCCCAGCGCCGCCGCUUCAGCCCACCCGGUUACCAGCCUCGGCCCCCACGAUUCUACGACGAGCCGCAAGGAUAUGGCAUGCAUGCUGGACCAUCACCUCCGCGCCAACGCAGAUUAGAAAGCAGCAACUUUGAUGACGCUAUUGGUCCACGUUACACCCAUGGCUAUGAAGGGAAUGGUAGAGGAUAUGCAAGGGGUGGUAGGGGAUAUGAAGGGGGUGGUAGGGGAUAUGAAGGGGGUGGUAGAGGAGGUGCAAGAUUCCAAGAUGUUUCUCCACCAUAUGGAAGAGGAGGCAGGUCGCACGGGAGGGGGAGCUAUAAUGGUCCUGGAAAGGAGUUCAUUCUAAUUGAUGGAGAAUAUGUUCACAGGAAUGAUCCAAAUCUUUCACCAAGAGAAGGUGAUUGGAUAUGCCAGAAUCCGAGUUGUGGAAACCUCAACUUUGCUCGAAGAAGUCACUGUAACAACUGCAACAAACACCGCUAUGAGUCUAGUCUUAGUCCUCACAGGGGUUACUUUGACUCUCCUCCACGAGUGCCUGCAAGGCCACUUGGUCAACCAAGUGAUCGUGCUCCUCCAAGAGAAAUGGCGAGGUACAAGCCAGCACCCCGUGAUUGGGGUGUGGGUGAUCCUAGAAGUUAUCCAGCUAGAUCACCUCCAGAACGCGUAGGACGAUUUCCAGAUCCAUUGCAGAGGGAAAGGGGUUUCCGUGGUGAACGUGAGUUGCGUGACCCUGUGAAGUUUGAGUGGUCUGCUGCGGAGUACAAGCAGAGGGAGGGUCCACAUGGUGGGUUGUAUCUUGACAGGAGCCGAUCUCCUCAGGGGAGCUGGGGGAGCGAUAUGCGGGACAGAAGCAGAUCUCCUGCAGGUAACAGACCAAUGAAGGGUGCUUUCUUGGGCAGAGGUCGACCAGACCUAGAGUAUGGUGGUUCAUAUGUAGGCCGAGGGCGGUUGGAUGGUGGGCGCGGGCGUGGACGUGGGCGUGGCCGUGUUUACAGGCCAGGAGGUGAUCCAUACCCUGGCGAGGGCCGAGAUGAUCGGCGCGCUGCUCUUCAUGGUAGGGAUGAUGGGCGCUACUAGUUCAUCCUUUGAACUGAUUCUCUGGAAAGAAAGAUCUAGUUAAGACGGUGCAGGUCCAGCCUGUAAUAUUAAACUAUCAGUACUGUUUCCUCAACUGUGAUGACAUUUGCAAUGUUCUGAAAUGAACAAGUCCACUAUGCACUGGAUGAUGGUAUUAUUUUGGUUCAGUGAGCAGCUGGGUUGUUAUGUCAAAGCUGAUCUGAUUAUUUGGUUAUUUUGGGUUGCUUCUCGGUUGGGUUAUACCCUCAUGCCUGGUCGGGUGGAGUAUAUGCAACACAAGGAUUUCAGGUUGCUCUGGCAGCUGUAGGUCACAUGCCUUGGCCCUUGUGGUCUACGAGUUGUGGGCAUAGCCAGAAAGGUUCCGUAAUCACGGCAAUGUGUACUUCCAGUGGAACCCACUGCACUGCAUGAUGGCCUGAAGCAUCAAUGAAAAAGUCAUCAUUGGUAGAGCUACAAACAGGGGUGAUUUAACCUAUUGGAAGAAACUAAAGUUUUGUAGUGUGCAAAUAUCAAAUGUUUCACCGAGGCCUAUUUAGGACGUUGUACUAGGAACGGAAGACAGGUCGUGGUAUGCUUCGAUUUGUGUUAUGAUUUAUGAAUGUGUAUAUCUUGUGCCGGUUACACCAGGUGUAUCAAUUCAUUUUGCACAUAAUUC
rnacentral:rRNA from 1 species